rnacentral:rRNA from 1 species
AGCAGCCGCGGUAAUUCCAGCUCCAAUAGCGUAUAUUAAAGUUGUUGCAGUUAAAAAGCUCGUAGUUGAAUUUCGGGAUCAGUACGCUGGUCGUGCCUUCGGUAUGUACUGGUGUUACUGGUUCCUACCUUCUGACGAACCGUCAUGUCAUUAAUUUGGUGUGGCGGGGAAUCAGGACUGUUACUUUGAAAAAAUUAGAGUGUUUAAAGCAGGCUCGCGCUUGAAUACAUUAGCAUGGAAUAAUGAAAUAGGACGUUCGACCCUAUUUUGUUGGUUUCUAGGAUUGACGUAAUGAUUAAUAGGGAUAGUUGGGGGCAUUAGUAUUCAAUUGUCAGAGGUGAAAUUCUUGGAUUUAUUGAAGACUAACUACUGCGAAAGCAUUUGCCAAGGAUGUUUUCAUUAAUCAAGAACGAAAGUUAGGGGAUCGAAGACGAUCAGAUACCGUCGUAGUCUUAACCAUAAACUAUGCCGACUAGGGAUCGGAUGAUGUUAAUUUUUUAAUGACUCAUUCGGCGCCUUA